UACGGAGGGUGCAAGCAUUAAUCGGAUUUAUUGGGCGUAAAGAGGGCGUAGGCGGGAUUGCAAGCCAGACGUGAAAUCCCGGGGCUCAACCCCGGAACAGCGUUUGUAACUGCAUUUCUUGAGGAUAGACGGAGAAAACGGAAUUCCACAUGUAGCGGUGAAAUGCGUAGAUAUGUGGAGGAACACCGGUGGCGAAAGCGGUUUUCUAGUUUAUACCUGACGCUAAAGCCCGAAAGCUAGGGGAGCAAACAGG
rnacentral:rRNA from 1 species